ensembl:lncRNA
GUGCGCUUCUGCUCGCAUGUGCGUGUGCAUGCGCCUGUGUGUCUGUAUAUACACAGACACACGGAGGUCAUCCUUUAAAAAACCCGUCGGUUGUUUUAGAUAACAAAAUAACGUUACCUCACUCUUCCACUGGGAACACUUCAAAUGGGGAGGGAAGGACAUUUAUUUAACUAAGGAAAAGCCGCAGCAGCCACGAUGGAGAACACCACAUUGUGUUGAUAACACACGCCUUGAGAACUGUCAGGAGGGAGUGAAAAGAGGGAGAAAAAAAGAUUUGCUUGUGAUGGACUUAAUCUAAGCCUUGCUGAAAGAUGCGAUCGAAUCCCAGUGCCGAGCGUGCCUGCAUCCGUCACCAUCUUCUCGCAUUUCAAACCUUUGGUUUUGGGAUGGGCUCUGCCGAGCUAUCUGCCUUCAGCAGCCUUCAGCAUGCUGCCCCAAGCUGCACUAAGACCUCAUUGUGCUUGGGGCUGUAGAAAUUCAGGAUAAAAACAACAGCCCUUGCCCUAAAGGACACAAUUGGGAUUCACCAGGAACGGAAGACCUGAAAGCUGCAGAUGAACUGCAGUCAAACCAAAGGCAGCCACAGCUCCUGGCUGAACAAAAGGUGGUUUGAGCCAUGGGAGUUCAGAUGUUUUGAAAGGCAAAACAUAGUUUAAGAGAAGAAAAUUACAAAUGAUUUAUUUUUAUUAAUUUUGUUGGUUUUGUUGUGGUCAUUGUAGUUGUUCUUGCUGUUGUUACUACUUAUUGCUAUUAUUUUAUUUGCUCUAGAAGGUCCCCAGAAGUUUCAGAUAAACCCUAUAGUCACUGGGGUUUGCAGAUUAAUGUGAAUUCAUAGGAGUCCAUCGGAGUGUACCUUGCUCUCUCAAGCAGCAAGCAUGUCCCCAAGCCCUUCCCAGGAAACAGCAAUUGUAAUAGAGCCUUCCAGCAAAAUUUCACAGGGCUUUCUUCCCCAGCAGGAUAAAAUUAGCCAAGCUCUCUUGAGAUGACAGCUAAGAACUCCAGCUUCCCUCAGAUGACCUCAAUGGAGUCAUUUGUUGCUUAAAUGACAGACAAACGCAGUAAUUAGGUCUAUUUAGUAAAGGGAAGGUGAAAGGUCAAACUACUGGGCAAACUGUCUCCACCGCUUGACUGGGUG